GUCAGUGUAGUGUAGUGGUUUGAGUGUUGAACUACAGCUCUGGAGACCAGGGUUCAAUUCCCAGCUCAGCCU